GACAGAGGCCUCGAGCGUUAGGCGGAAUCACUGGGCUUAAAGCGUGUGUAGGCGGGCCCGUAAGUGUCUUGUGAAAUCCCACGGCUCAACCGUGGAACUGCUGGGCAUACUGCGGGUCUUGGGCCAACUAGGGGCAGCCGGAACAAGCGGUGGAGCGGUGAAAUGCGUAGAUAUCGCUUGGAACGCCGAAGGUGAAAACAGAACUGCUGGGGGUUGCGGUCCGACCGCUGAGACACGAA
rnacentral:rRNA from 1 species